rnacentral:rRNA from 1 species
CCUACGGGAGGCAGCAGUAAGGAAUAUUGGACAAUGGACGAAAGUCUGAUCCAGCCAUGCCGCGUGCAGGAUGACAGCCCUACGGGUUGUAAACUGCUUUUAUACAGGAAGAAACACUCCGACGUGUCGGAGCUUGACGGUACUGUAAGAAUAAGGAUCGGCUAACUCCGUGCCAGCAGCCGCGGUAAUACGGAGGAUCCAAGCGUUAUCCGGAAUCAUUGGGUUUAAAGGGUCCGCAGGCUGUUUUUUAAGUCAGAGGUGAAAUCCUGCAGCUCAACUGUAGAACUGCCUUUGAUACUGGAAAACUUGAGUUAUUGUGAAGUGGUUAGAAUGUGUGGUGUAGCGGUGAAAUGCAUAGAUAUCACACAGAAUACCGAUUGCGAAGGCAGAUUACUAAUAAUCAACUGACACUGAUGGACGAAAGCGUGGGUAGCGAACAGGAUUAGAUACCCUGGUAGUCCACGCCGUAAACGAUGGUUACUAGCUGUUUGGACCUUGUGUCUGAGUGGCUAAGCGAAAGUGAUAAGUAUCCCACCUGGGGAGUACGUUCGCAAGAAUGAAACUCAAAGGAAUUGACGG